CCGUCGGGAUCGUAACGCUGGCGGACCUCGAGGAAUUUGGCCAGGUUUGUGACUCGAGAGCCCAUGUCCUCGAACAUCGCGUUUUUGUUCUUCCCCCAGUGUGGCCUGCCUUUGUAUUUCUUGAGCAGCAUUUGCUCGAUCUCAUCCGUCGCGUCCUGGUCCAGCCGGGGCGUGUUUUGCCGGCGGUCUCUGAAGUAGAGCAGCUCGAAUGCAACUGAGUCCUCGGGCUCGGCGAGGUAGGCCGUGGAUCCUUUGAUGAAUCUGAGCUGUGCUCCGCCAUAGAUAUUUGCACCGCAGAGCUUGGUUGGGUCCAUUCCAUCGCGGAUCUUCUUUAUGUCUUGGAUGGCUUCGUUGAUCCUGGAGAGUGGGAUUGCUAGGGAUGUCUGGAAGUAGAAUUGUCCAGGAACGUCGGGGUCCCAGUAGCAUGUUAGCCUCUCCCCGGAUGCUGAUCGUGUGUUGUUUAGUGCAGUGUUUUGGCAGCCUCCAGCGGUUUGGAGCUGGUGAUUAAAUCCCACGACUGGAUAUCCGCGAAAGGUAUUGCUCCUGUCAUUCACCAGGCCAUCUCCGCUCGAGACUCGGUUCUCAACUCCGUUUAGUGAUUGUUGGCAGACGAGGGAAGCGUUCAUCUGGGACAUGAAGUUCUCCUCUACGUAAAAGAAUCACGAUUUCAGCGUAAGGUGAGAACUCUGAUUUUUAUGAGAUGUUGGAGCUUACCUCGGACUCUAGACUGUCUUACGUUUGUCUCUGGAGCAGGAUCAUUGCCAGCGUUCCUUCCCUCGCCAGGGGUACUUGCCGAGACCUUGUUGUCUACCCUCAGCAGGAUCUUCUUCUGAGAGAUGUACCAGUUGAUAUCCCCAAACGCAUACCUGCUUGCGAAUCCAGCAACGUCAUUCUCGAGGGUGCUGUCGUCGCGGGCCUGCUUGGUGAUGGAGCGCUUGAACAUCGGCUCCACGUCGAGCGUGACCGUGGAUAUGGCUCCAAGGACGCCAAUAGACAGCUUGGCUGCAUUCAG
rnacentral:lncRNA from 1 species